rnacentral:rRNA from 1 species
UGGGGAAUAUUGCACAAUGGGCGCAAGCCUGAUGCAGCCAUGCCGCGUGUGUGAAGAAGGCCUUCGGGUUGUAAAGCACUUUCAGUCGUGAGGAAGGUAGUGUAGUUAAUAGCUGCAUUAUUUGACGUUAGCGACAGAAGAAGCACCGGCUAA